rnacentral:rRNA from 1 species
CCUACGGGAGGCAGCAGUGGGGAAUAUUGGACAAUGGGCGAAAGCCUGAUCCAGCAAUGCCGCGUGAGUGAUGAAGGCCUUAGGGUUGUAAAGCUCUUUUACCAGGGAUGAUAAUGACAGUACCUGGAGAAUAAGCUCCGGCUAACUCCGUGCCAGCAGCCGCGGUAAUACGGAGGGAGCUAGCGUUGUUCGGAAUUACUGGGCGUAAAGCGUACGUAGGCGGUUAUUCAAGUCAGAGGUGAAAGCCUGGAGCUCAACUCCAGAACUGCCUUUGAAACUAGAUAGCUAGAAUCUUGGAGAGGUGAGUGGAAUUCCGAGUGUAGAGGUGAAAUUCGUAGAUAUUCGGAAGAACACCAGUGGCGAAGGCGACUCACUGGACAAGUAUUGACGCUGAGGUACGAAAGCGUGGGGAGCAAACAGGAUUAGAUACCCUGGUAGUCCACGCCGUAAACGAUGAUAACUAGCUGUUCGGGCUCUACGAGCUUGAGUGGCGCAGACUACGACAUUAAGUUAGUUCCGUCCGUCGGGAGGUACGGUCGCGAGAAGUUAAACGUAACGUAAAGUUAAAGUUAGUACGGACGUUGAGACGUUGCCGACGGACGACGACGAGGGAGGAGG